AUUGAACGCUGGCGGCAUGCCUUACACAUGCAAGUCGAACGGUAACGCGGGGCAACCUGGCGACGAGUGGCGAACGGGUGAGUAAUACAUCGGAACGUGCCCAGUAGUGGGGGAUAGCCCGGCGAAAGCCGGAUUAAUACCGCAUACGACCUACGGGUGAAAGCGGGGGACCGCAAGGCCUCGCGCUAUUGGAGCGGCCGAUGUCAGGUUAGCUAGUUGGUGGGGUAAAAGCCUACCAAGGCGACGAUCUGUAGCUGGUCUGAGAGGACGACCAGCCACACUGGGACUGAGGCACGGCCCAGACUCCUACGGGAGGCAGCAGUGGGGAAUUUUGGACAAUGGGGGCAAGCCUGAUCCAGCCAUGCCGCGUGCGGGAAGAAGGCCUUCGGGUUGUAAACCGCUUUUGUCGGGGAAGAAACGGUCUGCGCUAAUACCGCGGACUAAUGACGGUACCCGAAGAAUAAGCACCGGCUAACUACGUGCCAGCCGCCGCAGUAAUAC
rnacentral:rRNA from 1 species